UACGGGGGGAGCAAGCGUUGUUCGGAUUUACUGGGCGUAAAGGGCGCGUAGGCGGUCGUGACAAGUCACUUGUGAAAUCUCCGGGCUUAACUCGGAACGGUCAAGUGAUACUGUCGGACUAGAGUACAGAAGGGGCAACUGGAAUUCUCGGUGUAGCGGUGAAAUGCGUAGAUAUUCGCAAGAACACCAGUGGCGAAGGCGGCUUACUGGUCCGGAUCUGACGCUGAGGCGCGAAAGCGUGGGGAGCAAACAGG
rnacentral:rRNA from 1 species